UGGGAUAACUCCGGGAAACCGGGGCUAAUACCGGAUGGUUGUCUGAACCGCAUGGUUCAGACAUAAAAGGUGGCUUCGGCUACCACUUACAGAUGGACCCGCGGCGCAUUAGCUAGUUGGUGAGGUAACGGCUCACCAAGGCGACGAUGCGUAGCCRACCUGAGAGGGUGAUCGGCCACACUGGGACUGAGACACGGCCCAGACUCMUACGGGAGGCAGCAGUAGGGAAUCUUCCGCAAUGGACGAAAGUCUGACGGAGCAACGCCGCGUGAGUGAUGAAGGUUUUCGGAUCGUAAAGCUCUGUUGUUAGGGAAGAACAAGUGCCGUUCAAAUAGGGCGGCACCUUGACGGUACCUAACCAGAAAGCCACGGCUAACUACGUGCCAGCAGCCGCGGUAAUACGUAGGUGGCAAGCGUUGUCCGGAAUUAUUGGGCGUAAAGGGCUCGCAGGCGGUUUCUUAAGUCUGAUGUGAAAGCCCCCGGCUCAACCGGGGAGGGUCAUUGGAAACUGGGGAACUUGAGUGCAGAAGAGGAGAGUGGAAUUCCACGUGUAGCGGUGAAAUGCGUAGAGAUGUGGAGGAACACCAGUGGCGAAGGCGACUCUCUGGUCUGUAACUGACGCUGAGGAGCGAAAGCGUGGGGAGCGAACAGGAUUAGAUACCCUGGUAGUCCACGCCGUAAACGAUGAGUGCUAAGUGUUAGGGGGUUUCCGCCCCUUAGUGCUGCAGCUAACGCAUUAAGCACUCCGCCUGGGGAGUACGGUCGCAAGACUGAAACUCAAAGGAAUUGACGGGGGCCCGCACAAGCGGUGGAGCAUGUGGUUUAAUUCGAAGCAACGCGAAGAACCUUACCAGGUCUUGACAUCCUCUGACAAUCCUAGAGAUAGGACGUCCCCUUCGGGGGCAGAGUGACAGGUGGUGCAUGGUUGUCGUCAGCUCGUGUCGUGAGAUGUUGGGUUAAGUCCCGCAACGAGCGCAACCCUUGAUCUUAGUUGCCAGCAUUCAGUUGGGCACUCUAAGGUGACUGCCGGUGACAAACCGGAGGAAGGUGGGGAUGACGUCAAAUCAUCAUGCCCCUUAUGACCUGGGCUACACACGUGCUACAAUGGACAGAACAAAGGGCAGCGAAACCGCGAGGUUAAGCCAAUCCCACAAAUCUGUUCUCAGUUCGGAUCGCAGUCUGCAACUCGACUGCGUGAAGCUGGAAUCGCUAGUAAUCGCGGAUCAGCAUGCCGCGGUGAAUACGUUCCCGGGCCUUGUACACACCGCCCGUCACACCACGAGAGUUUGUAACACCCGAAGUCGGUGAGGUAAC
rnacentral:rRNA from 1 species